UGAUUUGCAGGGGGGGAUGCCUAUGCC
rnacentral:sRNA from 1 species